AUUGAACGCUAGCGGGAUGCUUUACACAUGCAAGUCGAACGGCAGCGCGGACUUCGGUCUGGCGGCGAGUGGCGAACGGGUGAGUAAUGUAUCGGAACGUGCCCAGUAGCGGGGGAUAACUACGCGAAAGCGUAGCUAAUACCGCAUACGCCCUACGGGGGAAAGCAGGGGAUCGUAAGACCUUGCACUAUUGGAGCGGCCGAUAUCGGAUUAGCUAGUUGGUGAGGUAACGGCUCACCAAGGCGACGAUCCGUAGCUGGUUUGAGAGGACGACCAGCCAACCUGGAACGGGAAACGGCCCCGAAUCCUUACGGGGGGAGGAGUUGGGAAAUUUGGGAAAUGGGGGCAACCCUGAUCCAGCCAUCCCGCGUGUGCGAUGAAGGCCUUCGGGUUGUAAAGCACUUUUGGCAGGAAAGAAACGUCGCGGGCUAAUACCCCGUGGAACUGACGGUACCUGCAGAAUAAGCACCGGCUAACUACGUG
rnacentral:rRNA from 1 species